rnacentral:rRNA from 1 species
UACGAAGGGGGCUAGCGUUGCUCGGAAUCACUGGGCGUAAAGCGCACGUAGGCGGGUCUUUAAGUCAGGGGUGAAAUCCUGGAGCUCAACUCCAGAACUGCCUUUGAUACUGAGGAUCUUGAGUCCGGGAGAGGUGAGUGGAACUGCGAGUGUAGAGGUGAAAUUCGUAGAUAUUCGCAAGAACACCAGUGGCGAAGGCGGCUCACUGGCCCGGUACUGACGCUGAGGCGCGACAGCGUGGGGAGCAAACAGGGA